rnacentral:lncRNA from 10 species
CAGAAAGCUGUUAUGAAGAGUAAAUGCAGAUGUGAAAUUUACAGAUAUUUCCACCUCAUCUGCUCCAGCCAGUACUGCAGUGGGAAGGUCAUGCACUGCACAGUGAUUGCCAGUAGAUGGCGCAAUGGGCCUGCCGCCAUCCCAGGCUUUGUUUCUGAACCCAGCGGGAGAGGGAGAUGACAGAAAUCUUUAUUGCAAACUGGGGGACACCAUUAGCUACAGUGGCCUCCUGGGAUCACCAUUUGCAAUAUAAGCCCAGUGACUUAAAGGAGAGAGUGGAGAGGAAUCAUGGUAAGGCUUGUAACUCCAAGGAUGAAGAACAACCAGGGCUUGGGGAUGGGUGAAGAAUCUUCUGAAGAAGUGACCUGGCUACUCUUAUAAAGGUCUGUGCUUCCGCCUGCACGGUCAUCACUGCUGUUGACAUAAAAUACAGAAUUUAUCAUGAGCCAUUCCCUGCUUAAACACCUACUAUGGUGCCCCAUUCGAAUCCAAGCAGGGUGUUUAAGGUGCUUCAGACUCUGUCUUGAUCCUCCUCUUGCAGAUUACUCCCUGCCACUACCCUAUGGGGAGUCUCUUGCCACAUCCUCCAUGCUCUAAAUCUCUAUGGCUUUGGCUCAUCCAGGGUGAUGUGACUGUUGCUUCCUCUGCCUGGCUUGUCCUCUUCUCUCUGUUAACUCCUGCUCUUUGUCAAGAUCUAGCUCAGAUUAUUAUUUCCUCUCUGAAGACUCUUCUUGGUAAAGUUGCUCGCUCUGCACUGCUUCCUCAGAUCUUUGUGCACUUGUUACGUGCUUUUUAAUUUGUUUUAUGGCUCUAUCUCCCUAACUAGACUGAAAGCACUUGAGGAUGGUGACCUUUUCAUAGUCUUUUUGUUAUUUGGGCACUUAACACAUAGCAGCUGCCCCAUGAUUGCUGGUCCCUUUUCUUUCUCUCCUCGCCAACCACCCACCCUGUUGUCAGACUGAAAUAAGCCCAAAAGUCCAUGGAAGUUGGACAGCUGUAUUGACAACUGAGCUAUGUCCAGGAUCAAGCUAUCUCUUCUUAACUGCUUAGCAUGCUUCUAAGCAUGGUUCAGGGAAGCCAGGACAACAGAAGAGUUCAGAUAAGGUGGCCAAAAGUCCUGGAAUAGUCAAAACAAUUCCUGCUUCCCUGUGGUUAUCCUAAGGAAGACCAAUGUGUCAUUUUCCCCUGGGAGCAUCUCAGGGGCUGGCUUUUACUUGUUUCAGGAACAACUUUGCACACAUGACCACAGCCAUUGCUUUGGCAUCUCUUUCCCCUAGACAGGAUUUGUUUCCUGGGCACAUGUUGACACAAAUACCAUAGGUUCCUUUUGGCAGGUCCAGGUGCCUACCUAUUUCAAAAGGUUGUUUUAGGAAUGAAACUGGAUACUGUUCAAGUUCCAACCACAUUGUGACCUCAUCCACUACUACCCACCUACCAGGUCCUCACAUGUGAACUCUCCCUGCACUCAUGAUUGCCCUGCCACACGAGUGUUGGUUGGAGUGUCAGGUGUCAUGGGUUCAGCCAUCUCACACUAUUUAAAGUGGGGGACCCGUCCUUCACUGAUGGAGUGGACAGGUGAUCAGAGAACCAUCCCACCAAGAGAAAGACCCUCUUGAGGCCCUCCAUCUCUGCAUGUCAGGUUCACAGUAAGUCUUAACGGUGCCAAACAUAAGCCCUUAUGCCACUCUUCUCUUCUCUUAUCACCUUUGCACCCUUCUCCAACCCACACACAUGCAUACACUGGGCCCCUGACUUCCCUCUUCCUAGCUUCUCUUUCUGCUAUUAACUGGCAGUUGCUGCCUAAACUCGCCAACCACCUUGAGAGUUGUGAGAGGAUAGCCCGGCAGCCUGUAGCUGUAUGCUGGGGGUGGGGAGGGCUGAAAGGAAGAGGACGUCCACCCUCCCAAUGUCAAGUUGCUGAGUGAAGUCUCCUUUGAUGACAAUGCAGUAGGGCUAAAGUGGACUAAAAUUUGCUUUCUCUCUCUCAGGCUGUGAGACAGAGCAUAGAACCUGUGUCAGGUCACAGGAGAGUGAUCCCCCAACACUUUGGGCCAUGUUCCAACCCUGCCUGCCCCAAUUCCCAUUGUGUAAAAUCCAUCUGCAACCUAUGCCAGCCUUCCAGAAUGCAGAGGGACCCUGGGAAGAGCUGGAGAAGAGAAGAGGAAGAAGGAUGGGAGACGGAAGAUUCUCAGUUGGAAAAAAAAACAGCAGCAAGAAACUUUGUUUACCUUGUUGGUCAGAUUAAAUUUCUGCCACCAAAAGAAAUCGAGAUUGAAAAGCUAAGUUUAAUUAUGGAGAAAAUAAAGUUACAUUUUUUUUUGCACAACAAAGUCAUUGACUAUGAAAUUUAUAAGCAUCAUAUGAAACAGACAAUCUUAUGAAACUUACCAAGGAUGUUUCCAGCAACCCCUUGUUUAGGGAACAGAGUAAAGGGGAGAAAAGGUAGCAUUUUCAAAUCUCAAGAAAGUGUUUUAUGUCAGAAUUCAAUUUGUCCCAGAGCACAGCUGUCAAGAGCUUUGUAAAUCUAGGCCUCUAGGAGGAGAGGGCUAAAGCACUUUCAGGAUAAAGGCUAGAAGCCUAAGGCCCUGAUCAUUUGGGCAAUCCUUGUUAUUGCAUUUGUUGUUCCAUUCUCUGACACUUCUAAAAGGCUGUGGAAUCUCCAGAUGUGUUCAUAAAAUAGUGGUAGCAAUUAUUCAUUGCUUCUAGGAAAGGGAAAUGGAUAUGUUACCAACAAAGCCAGUCCCCAUACAAAUGGAGUCUUUCCCCGUUUAGUGCUGUGAAGCCAAUAUACAAAACCAAAAGUGAGUGUCAAGUAGUGCAGGCUUUAUUCCAUGGCCACUGUAUUAGUCAGGGUUCUCUUAGAGGGACAGAACUAAUAGGAUAGAUGAUAGAUAGAUGAUAGAUAGAGAGAUAGAUAGAUAGAGAGAUAGACAGAUAUAAAGGGAAUUUAUUAAGUAUCAACUUACAUGAUCACGAGGUCCCACAAUAGGCUGUCUGCAAGCUGAGGAGCAAGAAGGGCCAGUCCAAGUCCCCAGACUGAAGAACUUGGAGUCCGAUGUUCAAAGGCAGGAAGCAUCCAGCAUGGGAGAAAGAUGUAGGCUGUGAGGCUAGGUCCAUCUCUCCUUUUCACGUUUUUCUGCCUGCUUUAUAUUCACUGGCAGCUGAUUAGAUUGUACCCACCAGAUUAAGGGUGGAUCUGCCUUCCCCAGUGCACUGACUCAAGUGUUAAUUUCUUUUGGCAACACCCACAGGCACACCCAGGAUUAAUACUUUGUAACCCUCAAUCCAAUCAAGUUGACACUCAGUAUUAACCAUCACAAGUCCACCCCUUGUCAACCUGAACCCAUACACAUCUCCUGAGAUCAUACAUAAUCUUCAAAUAAAGACAAUAAUGAGGUCAUAAU